AACGGCUACCACAUCCAAGGAAGGCAGCAGGCGCGCAAAUUACCCACUCCCGGCACGGGGAGGUAGUGACGAAAAAUAACAAUACGGGACUCUUUUGAGACCCCGUAAUUGGAAUGAGUACACUCUAAAUCCUUUAACGAGGAUCUAUUGGAGGGCAAGUCUGGUGCCAGCAGCCGCGGUAAUUCCAGCUCCAAUAGCGUAUAUUAAAGUUGUUGCGGUUAAAAAGCUCGUAGUUGGAUCUCAGUUCCAGACGGGCGGUCCGCCUAACGGUGGUUACUGCCUGGCCUGAACAGCCAGCCGGUUUCCCUAGAUGAUCUUCACCGGUUGUCUUGGGUGACCGGCACGUUUACUUUGAAAAAAUUAGAGUGCUCAAAGCAGGCGUGUAGCCUGAAUAAUGGUGCAUGGAAUAAUGGAAUAGGACUUCGUUUCUAUUUUGUUGGUUUUCGGAACACGAGGUAAUGAUUAAGAGGGACAGACGGGGGCAUUCGUAUUGCGACGCUAGAGGUGAAAUUCUUGGACCGUCGCAAGACGAACUACUGC
rnacentral:rRNA from 1 species